AGACCAAGAUGGUGCACUGCAGGACACCUUUCUCCUUUUAAAUGUUCAAGAAAAAAAAGGACUAAUGGACAUUUUUUUCAACUUUUCUC